UACGUAGGUGACAAGCGUUGUCCGGAUUUACUGGGCGUAAGAGCGCGCAGGCGGUCGAUCAAGUCGAGUGUGAAAGCCCCCGGCUACAACUGGGGAGGGUCAUUCGAUACUGAUCGACUCGAAGGCAGGAGAGGGUAGUGGAAUUCCCGGUGUAGUGGUGAAAUGCGCAGAUAUCAGGAGGAACACCGGUGGCGAAGGCGGUUCUCUGGGAAUUACCUGACGCUGAGGAGCGAAAGUGUGGGGAGCGAACAGG
rnacentral:rRNA from 1 species